AUUGAACGCUGGCGGCAGGCCUAACACAUGCAAGUCGAACGAGUGGCGGACGGGUGAGUAAUGUCUGGGAAACUGCCUGAUGGAGGGGGAUAACUACGGGAAAAGGUAGAUAAUACCGCAUACCAUCGGAUGUGCCCAGAUGGGAGUAGCUAGUAGGGGGGGAAAAGGCACACCUAGGCGACGAGCCCUCGCUGGUCGGAGAGUGUGACCAGCCAAACUGGAACUGAGACACGGUCCAGACUCCUACGGGAGGCAGCAGUGGGGAAGAUUGCACAAUGGGCGAAAGCCUGAUGCAGCAAUGCCGCGUGUAUGAAGAAGGCCUUCGGGUUGUAAAGGACUGUCAGCGGGGAGGCGUUACCCGCAGAAGAAGCACCGGCUAACUCCGUGCCAGCAGCCGCGGUAAUAC
rnacentral:rRNA from 1 species